rnacentral:lncRNA from 1 species
GGGACUACAGGCGCCCGCCAUCACGCCCGGCUGCUUUUUUUGUUUUAGUAGAGAGGAGGUUUCACCGUGUUAGCCAGGAUGGUCUCAAUCUCCUGACCUCGUGAUCCGCCCGCCUCGGCCUCUCAAAGUGCUGGGAUUACACGCGUGAGCCACCGCGCCUGGCCUGAAGAAAGAAGUCAUUAAAGAAGCAACCCAUGGCAAAACUAGUUAUUUUCUUAAAACAGUAGGAAGAAGAAAAGCUUUUUGAAUGAAUCACUUCUCAUCUUCUCCGAAGUUGGAAGCAUCAAGAAUCUAAAUAAGCAUUUAUGAUGGCUGGCAUGAAUAUUUCUCUCCUUCAUCGUGCCUAUUUUAUGAACUUGAACAAGGAAGUUGCCACAACAUCUGUGGGCCAGAGAACUAUGCCAGAAUGUUAUUUCCAGAUUGCUUCCUGUAUUUACAAAGGCGGAAGAUAGAAUGGGAGUCCUAGUUGACCUUCAUAUAAUUUUUAGAAGAUGGAGCACUUCAACUUCUUCCACUCAUGAAAAGAGAGGUGACAGGUGAAGACAGAACAAGAAAACAAACCAAGAAUUUCCCCUCACCAGCCACCAGCUCUGCCAGCAACUUGAUCUUAGACUUCCCAGCCUCCGUAACGCCUCUGCUUAUAAUCUGUCAUGGAUUGGAAAACUAGAAAAAACAGUUUACAGAGUAUAACAAACUUUGGAGGAGUUAAUCGACUCUAAGUAAAAGAGUAUCUAGCACGGCUGUGGAACAAAGGAGAGACUCACAAACUGUUGAAAGAAUAAAUGAAUGAAUGAAUUCUGUUCAUGAGCUUUAAUAAAACAGCUCUGAGUAGUAACAGUGGAUCAAAUUUAGGCUUCUUGAUGCAGGCAUGGUGUAGAUUACUACUUCUGUAUUGUCCCAGGAGCUCAGCACAUUCCUGCAGAGAUGAUAGGAGCUCAUCUGAUACUUGUCAGCUUUGAAUAAACUCCAGUCCCCAAGAGAGAGAAUGAGAAUCACCGGAAUACGAAACUUCCCUGUUGGACUUCCCAACAUUCUUGAAUGCACCAAGAUAGCCUCUUGCUGUGAGAUUAAUAAAUGAAUAAAUGCCUCCAUAUUUUUCAAAUCUGUGAAGUUAACAACAUGUAGAUUUUUUUGCAUAUUUAAAAACUGCAACUAAAUCUUAAUGCCUCUGAAGCAGAUGGAAGAAAAUAAUAGGCUUCCAUUAACUGUGUCAAAUUGUAUAGGUCUUGGCCAUCACUGGUCCUGUUGUGAUGAAGGUUUUUUGCCCUUGGAUAUAAUUUAAUUUUCAAUUCUUCUAAUUAUGGUACUUCAGAACAUCAAUAUUUGAGAUGAACUUCUCUAGUGUCAAGGACUGAUUUGAGUUGUGUAAACCCUGAAUAUCUGAGACAGGUCUCGAUUAUUUUAGAAAGUUUAUUUUGCCAAGGUUGAGGAUGUGUGCCUGUGACACGGCCUCGGGAGGUCCUGAGGACAUGUGCUCAAGGUGGUCAGAGCACAGCUUUGCUUUAUACAUUUUAGAGAGACAUGAGACAUCAACCGACAUAUGUAAGAUGAACAUUGGUUCCAUCUGGAAAGGCGAGACAACUUCAAACGAGGAGGGGGCUUCCAGGUCAUAGGUAGAUAAGAGACAAAUGGCUGCAUUCUUUUGAGUUUCUGAUUAGCCUUUCCAAAGGAGGCAAUUAGAGUGAGCAAAAUGAACAAAAUCAAUUAUUUUGAUUCUGAACAAAAUGGGAGGCUGGUUUUCCCUAAGCAGUUCCCAGCUUGACUUUUCCCUUUAGCUGAGGGAUUUGGGGGGCCCAAGAUUUAUUUUUCUUUCACCGUUGUAUCAAACUACACAGGCGGCCUUGGAAACCAUCACAGUUGAGAGUAGGUAACGCCCAUUUGUUGCAUAGUUUUGUGCUCCACACUCUUAUCUACAAAAUUAUGAAUUUUUUUACAUAUAUUAAUUUCAGAAAAACUAAAAAUAAAACAAAGUAGUUUCAAACUAGUAUUGUUUUUAUAUCUUAAAAAUAAAGCUUUAUAUACUCUCCUUAC